CCUUCCCCUGCCACAGCAGGGCUGGGAGUGAAGAGCCUGUGCCUGCAAGCAACUGCUUUUCUCCCAGCUCUGCAAGGAAGGAGAUGGAAAAACCGAUGAAGAUGCAAGUCUGGAGUCAAGUUACACUCUGCCUCCAGCUUUCUCCAGCCCAGAGCUUUCCGUCUUCCUUGCUUGGAGAGCUCAGGAGGUCCUGGAGAAGGGCAGGUGCUGGGAGGACCAGAAAUCUCAGUGCUACCUCUGGAGAGGGAAGAUCUUGAGAAGGUCGGGGAAGAAUCAAGGAGCUGCAUCCUUUAACCGCCUCGCUUGAAGGUGUAACCCAAGUCCCAUGGUCCUCUCCACCCAUGGUACAGCACAUCCACGUGGGGCUGGCAUCCCUCAGCUGCCUCCGGAGCAAAACCAUCCAUCCCGCUCCCCUGGAUGCUGCUCAGAGACGCUCCUGAGAUGCUGACGUGCAGAUAAAUCACCAGCCCCAAGCACCUGCUCCAAGGCUGGGCAGCUGCAGGGCCGGGAAGCUCUGAGGCUAAAAAAAGAUGGGAGCAGAUGGGGCUGGACGCAGCCACCGCUUUGCAGAGGAACCAGGAGUUGUCCCCUGCCCUGUUCGGUCUCUGCCGAAUGCCAACCCUGUGAGUGAUGGUGGCAGUGCCCAGCGCACGCAGCUGGGGUGCUGGGGACUACCAGCAAGCUCAGACAUGCCUCAGUUUCCCCAGCAGCUAAAAUGCAGCGUCCUGGUGUCCACGUAGAGUGGUGGGAGAGGAAGGUCUGGGCUCUGCGUGGCUUCAGUGCAAGGUUGUCACUGGGGUCCUGCCAAGGCAACCAAAACCCUCGGCCAGGCUCACCGGCAGGAGCGAUCUGACACGGCUGCCUCAUUGGGAGAUGCUCCUGCAGCUUUUGCCACCUUCUCUCCCCUCCCAGGUAAUGUGGGGAAUGCAGCAAAGGCCACGGGGGGAAAACACGGCCCCACACACGUGUGCAGAUGCCGGCAGCACGGACCUCGCUCCUGCCAAACCUUCGGCACGUGGGUUGAACUUCAUGGCUGCAGUGGCGGUGCUGCUCUCCACCACCCACCUUGCAGCAUCCGUCACCUGGCUGUUUUGAAGGGGGUGGGGGGUUGACCAAACCAAAGUCCUCGAGGUUUCUGUUCCAUGUUAGCGGAUUAAAAACCCUGUCUCUCUUGCAGACAUGUCUAAAGGGAAAAUGUCUCUUGGGCUUGAACCUGCUUCAUCCUUGCAGGCGUUUGCAAUUUGCUGUAAAAAUCAGGCAGGGUGUCUUGGGCGGCUUCCUUUGUGACAUCGGAGCUUGCCAGCAGCAAACAGGGCUCCGAAUCUGGCCCAUAGCACUGAAAGGCGUGAAUCCCUGGAGAUUAGAGGGUUGGAUUUUGGUGUGGGUUUUUUUUGUUGGUUUUUUUUUUUUUUUUUUUUCCACAAUGCCAUUCAGGGCCUGGAAAGGCUGUCCCUGUCACCUCGACCCAGUCCAGCUCUCCAGCAUGGCUAUGCAAAUUGGUCAGUGCUUUUGCAGGCAACAUUAGAACUCGGAUGAGCAGGAGCUCCCCGGGGGCUGCACAGGCACGCCGGGCUGGAGAACUCGCUGCUUUUUUCCUUCGAGGAAUAGGCAAAGUGGCCUCAAUAUUUGCAGAAAAUGCUGUUAACUAUUGCAAAGGGAAAAGUUAAAGGCUGGGAGCGGCGGAGGGAGCUGGGAGCGAGCGGGGAACGUGCAGCCUGCAAAACUUCAGCUGCUGCUAGACAUGGCAUCCCUGCAUUUGCUUAAUCAACAUUUGCUUUUGGCUUGUGCUGGAGCAACACAGAAGAAAAACAAAUUCCUUGGGAUAAAAGCAGCUCUCUGCCGCAGUAUUAGAAGCACAAAGGUGUCGGCAACACGGCAUAGAUGAGAUUUGUUUAACACUCCUCUGAGCCUUUUAAACCACAAAUUAAUGAACUUCAGACCGACGCAAUAUUGAUGAAAUGGUUUCCCAGCUGGCCCCGCGUACAGAAGAUGCAGGACUCUGCAUCCCUGCGCACCCCAGGGUCUCGCCCCCGCCACACGUCUCCUUUCUGGGCUCCAUCAGCUGCGGCUGCAUCGGCGUGACCACGGCCGGGUACCAUGGCCCGGGAGGGACCCGAAUGCCUGAGCCCAUGGUACCAGGACCGGGAGGGCCAAAGCAAAUGUGUGUGUUGAUGUCGCUGCAUCCAAAGAUUUCCCUGACCGGGGGGGACAUCGCUGGCUCGCUGCGGCCUGGAGAGACACCAGAGAGAUGCGCCGACGACCAGAGUUAAGGGUAAAAGGGAGUAAAAUCUUCCAGGAGCGGGGAUGGACGUCUCAGUGCGUGCUGCCCUGGCUGUACUGAGUGGUGCCCCCAGCCGCGUUCACCCUCCCUGCCCCGACGUCUUGACACGCGGAUAAAAGCCGGGCUGAAGGGACGAUUUCACGGAGAUUAACCUCACGCGCUGCGCUGGGGCUGCCGCUGCCCUUGACACUGGGUCCCCCAUGUAUCAAAGGUGGAUUACAGAUAUAUUAGCCCCGCCACUGGUUUUAUUAGUGGCGGUUUAUCACGUGGAGGGGGUCAGCCAAGGGCAGGGGACGGAGGAGCCCAGUCACCCUCCGGGGACCCAGAGCAUCACAGAGAGGCUUUAAUUGAAUUUUUGGGAGGAAACCUGGGCUGGGGUCAGUGUUUGCUGCCUGGCCCCGGUGCAGCCCAGCUCCCCAAGAUUUGUAGUGCUGAUGGGUGAUGCCUGCGGUGCCCAUGGCAAGGGAGAAGGGAAGCUUUUGGCCUCAUUGCAGGCAGGGCUGCCCCUGUGCACCACCCCGGGCUGGGUUUAGAGAGAUUUGAUUCAAAAAUAAAUCAAUCCCCUCUGGGAGGCACUCGGACGGCUUCUGCUGGGGAUGGAGAUGCCAGUCCUGUCCUGCCUGGGCGCAUCCCUCCUCAUCCCACACAAAACCUCCCCUGGGCUGGAGGAAUUUGACUCCUUCGACCCAAACAAAUGCCUUCGAACCCUGAGCAUCCCCGUGCGGCACCGGGGUACCCAAACCCAAGGGGGUUCAGGUGGAUGCUGGGAUGCCCGGCAUCGAUGCAACAAGUCGCAUCAAGGAGGUGGGGGCAGGAUUUGAGCAUGAAAGAGGUUAAAGUGGGGCAAAGCAGGGGGGAAGAGAAACCUCCUGAACCGGGCGUUUUAAUGACAUUCCAUUAAAGCUCCCUUUGGGGCUGGCGCGGCAGCCAUGUGCUCCACAUUCUCAUGGUAAUUAUGAGACAUCUGUAUAGAGGCUCUUUUCUCAUCAAAGAUGGCUCUCUUCAAAGACACUCCUGGGAAACCCUUCACCUCUGACCCAGGGGGUCACUGCCGAAACAGUGGCUCUAUAGUGCGCGUUACUGUAAAGCCCAGUAUCCUUUUUCUUCCCCUAACCUGACCAGUUCCCGGCUUUUCAGGCACGAUUCGUUGAGCUUGAGAGGGUUGCGGCGGGGGGCACCGGUUUCAGAGAAGGGUGUCCCACACACACACCACCACCACCAGUGCCAGUCCUGGGUGCCGUCAUCGUCAUCGCCUGCGCUGACCCCGGGGCGCAGGAGGGAGAUCAAAGUAGGAUGAAAAGGCAUUUAAUGAGAGCAGACAGGGCUGAGGGUUUCCUGUCCCCUCACUGGGGAAGGGAUGGCCUCCGCCCCCCACAGUGUCACCCAUCACCGCUCUCUGCCUGGUGCACCCCACCCGGGAAGUGCCAGGUCCCAGGGAGUGAUUUUUGGUGAUUGCCACAAAAAACCCCACCAUCCUCCAUGCUGCGGAGGUGAUGGGGACGUGCCUGAGGUCCCCCCCAGCCACAAAACAUGGGCACUUCAUCACCAUGAGGGUGCUCGAUGUCCCCACAUCCCCUGGGGAUGGAGACCACCUUGUCCCAUGGGGAUGUUUCCAGCAGAGCCGGCAUUGCCGUCCCAUCCACGGCACCGGCAUCACUGUCCCAUCCAUGCCACCGGUGACCCUGAUGUCCCACCUCCCCAGCUGGGCGACGACGGCCUUGGGACGAAGGCGACGGAUGCCUGGCAGGUCCCUUGGUGCCGGCAUGGGCGGCUCCAUCACGCCAGCACAGCACUGGCGAAUGCUCCCCACGGCCCUUUCCAAUAAGCGGCAAAUGAUUCUUCGUCCUGUCGCUCCCCGGCAGCAAUAAACCUUAAUCACAAUGAA